rnacentral:lncRNA from 1 species
UAAACUAUCGCAAGAACAAAAAACCAAACACCGCAUUUCUUUCUUAUCCUUUCAGAAUAUUUCAGUAGAAUGGGAAGCUACACUUGAAAUGCAAGAUGGAAUAUUUUCCCUAAGCUCUCCAUAAUAGAAUGUUGGUUAUACAUCCUUAACUAAACUAACACUGUAUCUUUUCUGUAGUACUGAUAAGAAAAUUGAAAAUGAACAACUCGUUAAUAUACUAUCUGAAAAAUGUGAGAUUAGAGAGACCAGCAGAAUUUUGAAGGCCAAGUAAGGUGGUGUUUGAUGAUGAGAGAUAAGCAACUCUUUGAAUAGAAGGAUUGUAAGAGAUUUACCCUCUGCUAUUAGCCCCCCUCUAGUUCCCAGGGUUUAAAAUCAAUUACAAUUUCAUUUGUACUUAAAAUUUUUCUUAUUGUCACAUAGAUUGAAUUUCAAAGAGAACAGGACAGCCUUACACAUAGAACUAGUCAGUGGGAAGCAGAAAGUGUACAACCUAAAUUGUUUACUUCA